UACGUAGGGGGCAAGCGUUAUCCGGAUUUACUGGGUGUAAAGGGAGCGUAGACGGCAAGGCAAGUCUGAUGUGAAAACCCAGUGCUUAACCCUGGGACUGCAUUGGAAACUGUCUGGCUCGAGUGCCGGAGAGGUAAGCGGAAUUCCUAGUGUAGCGGUGAAAUGCGUAGAUAUUAGGAAGAACACCAGUGGCGAAGGCGGCUUACUGGACGGUAACUGACGUUGAGGCUCGAAAGCGUGGGGAGCAAACAGG
rnacentral:rRNA from 1 species